GAUGAACGCUGGCGGCGUACCUAAUACAUGCAAGUCGAGCGAACAGACGAGGAGCUUGCUCCUCUGACGUUAGCGGCGGACGGGUGAGUAACACGUGGAUAACCUACCUAUAAGACUGGGAUAACUUCGGGAAACCGGAGCUAAUACCGGAUAAUAUAUUGAACCGCAUGGUUCAAUAGUGAAAGACGGUUUUGCUGUCACUUAUAGAUGGAUCCGCGCCGCAUUAGCUAGUUGGUAAGGUAACGGCUUACCAAGGCGACGAUGCGUAGCCGACCUGAGAGGGUGAUCGGCCACACUGGAACUGAGACACGGUCCAUACUCCUACGGGAGGCAGCAGUAGGGAAUCUUCCGCAAUGGGCGAAAGCCUGACGGAGCAACGCCGCGUGAGUGAUGAAGGUCUUCGGAUCGUAAAACUCUGUUAUUAGGGAAGAACAAAUGUGUAAGUAACUAUGCACGUCUUGACGGUACCUAAUCAGAAAGCCACGGCUAACUACGUG
rnacentral:rRNA from 1 species